GAAACAGCCCAGACCACCAGCUAAGGUCCCAAAAUAUAUGUUAAGUGGAAAAGGAUGUGGCGUUGCCCAGACAACUAGGAUGUUGGCUUAGAAGCAGCCAUCAUUUAAAGAGUGCGUAAUAGCUCACUAGUCGAGUGACACUGCGCCGAAAAUGUACCGGGGCUAAACAUAUUACCGAAGCUGUGGAUUGUCCUUUGGACAAUGGUAGGAGAGCGUUCUAAGGGCGUUGAAGCAUGAUCGUAAGGACAUGUGGAGCGCUUAGAAGUGAGAAUGCCGGUGUGAGUAGCGAAAGACGGGUGAGAAUCCCGUCCACCGAUUGACUAAGGUUUCCAGAGGAAGGCUCGUCCGCUCUGGGUUAGUCGGGUCCUAAGCUGAGGCCGACAGGCGUAGGCGAUGGAUAACAGGUUGAUAUUCCUGUACCACCUAUAAUCGUUUUAAUCGAUGGGGGGACGCAGUAGGAUAGGCGAAGCGUGCGAUUGGAUUGCACGUCUAAGCAGUAAGGCUGAGUAUUAGGCAAAUCCGGUACUCGUUAAGGCUGAGC
rnacentral:rRNA from 1 species